rnacentral:rRNA from 1 species
GAGUUUGAUCCUGGCUCAGGAUAAACGCUGGCGGCGUGCCUUACGCAUGCAAGUCGUACGCUCCGACUUCGGUCGGGGAGUGGCGAACGGGUGAGUAACACGUGCGUAACCUGCCCGGAAGUGGGGGAUAACCUCGGGAAACCGGGACUAAUACCGCAUACGGUCGCCGGUGAGAGACCGGUGGACGAAAGCCUUCGGGCGCUUCCGGAGGGGCGUGCGGCCGAUUAGCUUGUUGGUGGGGUCACGGCUCACCAAGGCGACGAUCGGUAGCUGGUCUGAGAGGACGGCCAGCCACACGGGGACUGAGACACGGCCCCGACUCCUACGGGAGGCAGCAGCGAGGAAUUUUGCGCAAUGGGCGAACGCCUGACGCAGCAACGCCGCGUGGGGGAAGAAGGCCUUCGGGUCGUAAACCCCUGUUGCAGGGGAAGCAACUGACGGUACCCUGCGAGGAAGCCACGGCUAACUACGUGCCAGCAGCCGCGGUAAUACGUAGG